rnacentral:lncRNA from 1 species
AAUUCAGUACAAGUAUAAUACGAAAAAAAUUCGUAUUCUAAUGUUUAAAUUCGUUGAAAAAUACGGCUUAAAAAAUAGGUUUGCGAAUUAUUCAGAUACGCAGUUUAUACGAAAAUUAUAUGUUCAUCAAUUAAAAAUUCGGGGUUAAAAUUCGACUAGUAAAUCAAUUUUUUUUUUAUAAAUUUAUGUUACUAGCAUAAAC